UACGAAGGGUGCAAACGUUGCUCGGAAUCAUUGGGCGUAAAGCGCACGUAGGCGGCCUUGCAAGUCGGAUGUGAAAUCCCACGGCUCAACCGUGGACGUGCAUCCGAAACUGCUCGGCUCGAGUAUGGAAGAGGGUCGCGGAAUUCCCGGUGUAGAGGUGAAAUUCGUAGAUAUCGGGAGGAACACCAGUGGCGAAGGCGGUGGUCUGGGCCGAUACUGACGCUGUAGAGCGAAAGCGUGGGGAGCGAACAGG
rnacentral:rRNA from 1 species